CGUUAAGUCGACCGCCUGGGGAGUACGGCCGCAAGGUUAAAACUCAAAUGAAUUGACGGGGGCCCGCACAAGCGGUGGAGCAUGUGGUUUAAUUCGAUGCAACGCGAAGAACCUUACCUGGUCUUGACAUCCACAGAACUUUCCAGAGAUGGAUUGGUGCCUUCGGGAACUGUGAGACAGGUGCUGCAUGGCUGUCGUCAGCUCGUGUUGUGAAAUGUUGGGUUAAGUCCCGCAACGAGCGCAACCCUUAUCCUUUGUUGCCAGCGGUCCGGCCGGGAACUCAAAGGAGACUGCCAGUGAUAAACUGGAGGAAGGUGGGGAUGACGUCAAGUCAUCAUGGCCCUUACGACCAGGGCUACACACGUGCUACAAU
rnacentral:rRNA from 1 species